rnacentral:lncRNA from 1 species
AAAUUUGAGUUAUCUUGAAAGAUUUUCCAACAAAAAAUUGUGCUUGGAUGAACCAUAAAAGAGUAACAAAGAAAAAUAAGGUAUGAAUUAUAUUGUAUGAACAUAUAACAUGACUGUUAAAAGACUAACUUUGAUGGCCAUAUACGCAUGUCUAAAUUGCAGGGUAAGUGAUGAGCAAUAUUACUUUGAUCUCUGCAAUUCAUAUAUGAAGUAGAUGUACUAAUUUUUUCAAGGAGCACGCCACACCAAUGAUUACAUUUUCAUUGAGCAUAUGGCUCAUGAUUUGGAUUACAU